rnacentral:lncRNA from 1 species
ACACAAGCAUUUAAAAUAAUGGCUCUAAAAAUAGACAUCUCUAGAGUCUAGAAAGAUACAAAGGAAGAAGUAACUUUGCCUGGGUGGGUAAACAAAGGCAGCACAGAGCCCUAUAAAAUCACUGAAUAGAUCUUAGCCCAGCCGUAACUAUGUCACAUCCCUCAGCUCCUGCAGGACCCAUAAGAGGAGAAAAUGAGACACUGAGUGGGACUCAGGGAUUGCUCCAGGCCACACAGUCAGCAGGAGGCAAAGCCCAGAUUCAAAUGCAGAUUACUCAGCUCCACAAUCCACAUCCUCACAGGAGGCUGCACUCCUUGCCCAAGCGUCAGACAGGAGCAAAGAGAAAGAAGGCAACCAGCUGGCUACUUUCUUCCCUUCUUGGAUGCCUCCAACAGGAUAAAACACUAACUCAGAGAAGAAAUUUAACUGCAAAUUUGGUUAAUGACCAUGGAUUCCUAAUGAGAAGAAAAGCUAGACACUGAGAGUUUAGAAUAAACUCAAGAAUCUUAAAAAUUUUCCCAUGGAACUGCCUUUGCACCUCUAUAAAAAAUUAAUUGACCAUAUGCUUAUUUCACCAACUAGAACUUCCAAUAAAACAUUGAAUAGAAGUGAUGAGAGUGGAUAUAUUUGCCUUGUUCCUGAUUUUAGAUGAUAAACAUUUUGUCUUUCACUUUAGAUAUGAUGUUAGUUCUAGGGGCUUUUUGAAGAUGAGCAUUAUUAUGUUGCAAAGGUUCCAUCCUCCUUCUAGUUUGUGAGGAAAUUUUUAUCUUAAAUGGACAUUGAAUUUUAUCAAAUGCCUUCCCUGCGUCUAUUGAUAUGACCACAUGGUUUUUCUUAAGUCUAUUAGUAUGGUGAAUUACACUGAAGAUUUUUGAAUGGUGAACCAGACUUGCAUUCCCCCAAAUAAACUCUACUUACUUAU